rnacentral:rRNA from 1 species
GUCGAAGAGGCAUCGGGGAGAGUGCUUGCACUCUCUGCCGGCGACUGGCGCACGGGUGAGUAACACGUAUGCAACCUGCCCUCCACAGGGGGACAACCUUCCGAAAGGGAGGCUAAUCCCGCGUAUAUGGUACCGGGGCAUCCCGGGGUCAGGAAAGGGUAACACCGGUGGAGGAUGGGCAUGCGGCGCAUUAGGCAGACGGCGGUGUAACGGACCACCGUACCGACGAUGCGUAGGGGUUCUGASAGGAAGGUCCCCCACACUGGUACUGAGACACGGACCAGACUCCUACGGGAGGCAGCAGUGAGGAAUAUUGGUCAAUGGGCGGGAGCCUGAACCAGCCAAGCCGCGUGAAGGAAUAAGGCCCUACGGGUCGUAAACUUCUUUUGUCAGGGAACAAAAGCGAGUAUGUAUACUAGUCUGAGUGUACCUGAAGAAAAAGCAUCGGCUAACUCCGUGCCAGCAGCCGCGGUAAUACGGAGGAUGCGAGCGUUAUCCGGAUUUAUUGGGUUUAAAGGGUGCGUAGGCGGUUCGGAAAGUCAGCGGUAAAAGCCCGGGGCUCAACCCCGGCGAGCCGUUGAAACUGACGGACUAGAGAAGGCGAGAGGUACGCGGAAUGCGCAGUGUAGCGGUGAAAUGCAUAGAUAUUGCGCAGAACUCCGAUUGCGAAGGCAGCGUACUGGCGUCUGACUGACGCUGAGGCACGAAAGCGUGGGGAUCGAACAGGCUUAGAUACCCUGGUAGUCCACGCAGUAAACGAUGAAUGCCGGCUGUUUGGGAUAAAUGAGUCCUGAGCGGCGAAGCGAAAGCGAUAAGCAUUCCACCUGGGGAGUACGCCGGCAACGGUGAAACUCAAAGGAAUUGACGGGGGCCGCACAAGCGGAGGAACAUGUGGUUUAAUUCGAUGAUACGCGAGGAACCUUACCCGGGCUCAAACGCAACGCGAAUACUUUUGAAAGGAGGUAGCCAGCAAUGGCGCGUUGCGAGGUGCUGCAUGGUUGUCGUCAGCUCGUGCCGUGAGGUGUCGGCUUAAGUGCCAUAACGAGCGCAACCCCUACCGCCAGUUGCCAACAGGUAAAGCUGGGAACUCUGGCGGGACUGCCGGCGCAAGCUGUGAGGAAGGCGGGGAUGACGUCAAAUCAGCACGGCCCUUACGUCCGGGGCGACACACGUGUUACAAUGGCAGGUACAGCGGGAAGCCACCGAGCGAUCGGGAGCGGAACCCGAAAACCUGUCUCAGUUCGGAUUGGAGUCUGCAACCCGACUCCAUGAAGCUGGAUUCGCUAGUAAUCGCGCAUCAGCCACGGCGCGGUGAAUACGUUCHCCGGGCCUUGUACACACCGCCCGUCAAGCCAUGGAAGCCGGGAGUGCCUGAAGSUGCGUGACCSCAAGGAGCVCSCUAAGGCAGCACUGGUG